rnacentral:misc_RNA from 1 species
CUCUCUCUCUCUCUCUUUCUUAUUGCAAGGAAGGAGAUGAAGCUAGAAGUUCUUUAGUUGCCUGCUCAUAUAUAAUUGAGAAAAUUUGGAUAUAAUUCAGAAGUCUAUGACUGAAAUGGAAUACAUCAGUAAUGUUCACUGUUAUAUAAAACUUAGAUACACUUACCAGGGACUUCCUAAUUCUUGAUUUGUUCAAUAAAGACUUGAAAAUUCUUGAAAGAUCCACCUGCAGCGAAACUCUUUCUAGCCAUUUCCUUCCGAUUAAAAAGCAUUUGCUUUAUAACAUCGUCCAAAAGCAGUCUUUUUAUUUUGUUUCUAAUCCAUGCCUUGCUAUGAUCCCAUUUUGAUAUGGAUUCAGAUAUUAUGUAAUUGACCUGCAAAGUAAGGCCAACAAAGGAAGGGGAUUCCGCUGCUAAGACCCUCCCAUCCACAAUGGCUCAAGAAGCAUGCAAUACUAGAGAAAGACGAUACUUUCCCUUGUGAAGCCCACUCCAUUAUCUUUCCAUGAUCUGCUACUCUUUCUAUGAACACUUCCUGGAAUUCUGCACACAUUCCAUUAAUGUCUGAUCUAACACAUUCCACUAAACUAUUCUAAAUUGUAGGUUAAUUGAUGUUUAUAGUUCUUGGUCAAGAGGGUUCUGGUUUAGCACUCAUUUGGGCUUGCAUGGGAGCAUGGUUUUUAAAAGGUGAUAACAUAAUAAGAAGGGAGAUCAUUAUCGGUAAAGUUCGAUAGAAUAGUUAUACAAUUUCUUCAGAACCCAAAGAGAGAGUAUUCCAAAAGGCAAACUGAAAUAUAAUAGGCCUGAGAGGAUAUCGCUAAACAAUCAAAACCAUAAAAGAUUAAAAGGAGUAGUAGAAAUGGCCCGUUGAGGAAUUAUUCCAUGUAAAAGUCCCAUGGAACAAAAGCAGAAGAGAAAAUUGAUUUUUGUUGAGAAAAUUUGACAAGAGUUGCCAUGAAAAUGUCCUACUUUCAAGGCAUGGAAUAGCUACGAAACUAGGUUUUCUUCAGCCACUUAGAAUUUCAAUUCCAUGAUAUUGAGGGACUUGUAUCCUUUGGAAUAAUUAUUCCUGCAUAAAAACUCGUACCAUUUUCCUUUCCUUGGAGGCUUCCAAUCAAACCAAAUGUAAAUCUGACCAGGACUUCUGAGAUAUUUCUUUAUUAAAAAUAGUAAAGAAGAAAAAAUCCUAACGAGCUGCCCAUUUAUUAACGGGUUCAAAACAGAGAGCCCUCAAUCAAUUCAACUCAGAUGAAAUACUGUCAAAAGCUAAUAGCCGCAGCCUUUGAUUUAAGAAAAUCGUAACAGAGGUGAUUUGAGAAAAUAUUGUUAAAGCGUUUCAAACUAUAGAAAUUGCAAAGCUUGAGUCGAGACACGAAUUUCAACAUUAUAGGUACACAGUUCCCUCCAUAUUUGUAACAUCAGCACUCACCAGUCAAUAAACUUAGCCUUCAGAAUCAUUAAAUGAAAAGGACCUUAAAUUGUCACUAUUUCUCCUCUAAUCUCAGUGAAGGAAUCUCACUUUUGUGUUUGUGCACUGGGUCGUGUAGGCCCCAAGUAGUUUGUCACCAACCCCAUGAUUGCAAACAUGGAGGCCAUGGAAACCUGUUUCAGGUCAUUCUCAAUAUUUCUCAUGUUGGCAAGUGAUUGGGCACAAAAUAUGAUUGCAAGCCAUGAGCAAAGCUUGUACCUGAACAUGACGCCAGCAACUCCGAAAAUAACGGCGAUGAAACCAGCGUAAUCGACAGGAAGAUCUUGAGGCAAAACCAUAGGCGGCGCGUAAGGCUUCGCCGCCGAUGGCUGGCGUGGAUCGUUCGCCGACGAUGAAGAAUUGUUGUGUGACGACAUGCCCGAUCCCUCUCUCUUUCUGUGUUUGUAUCGCAAUUCGCAACCGAAAAGAGGAGAGAUUGAGGCUUCUCUAUUUUUAUAUAUU